rnacentral:rRNA from 1 species
UACGAAGGGGGGCUAGCGUUGUUCGGAUUUACUGGGCGUAAAGCGCACGUAGGCGGAUCGUUAAGUCGGGGGUGAAAUCCUGGAGCUCAACUCCAGAACUGCCUUCGAUACUGGCGAUCUCGAGUCCGGAAGAGGUGAGUGGAACUCCUAGUGUAGAGGUGGAAUUCGUAGAUAUUAGGAAGAACACCAGUGGCGAAGGCGGCUCACUGGACCGGCAUUGACGCUGAGGCACGAAAGCGUGGGGAGCAAACAGG